rnacentral:ribozyme from 1 species
UGCCCAGCAACUCCUAUCCCUACCUCCGUGUGGUACCGGCUGUAAACUAUGAGCAACCUUAGGGAAGA